CGGAGGCGCACGCGCGACUUCCGCCGUUCCGACUCCCGGGGUACGGAGUGCGGAGCGUGCGGACCCGACGGUCUCGGUAUGGAGUUCAGACUGUCCUGGACCUCACUAUGGAGUCCAGGCUGGCGUUGAACUCACAACGAUCCUCCUGUGUCAGCCUCUGCAGUGUUGGGAUUAGAGGUGUGUGCUACCAUGCCCGGCUAAGGUGGGUAAGACCUCAGUGAAGCGAUGAAAAUUCUGUGUAAAAUACAGAAGGCAUUUUGAAAUCACAACUGAGUUGAUGCUCCCUAAGGAAAGAAAGAGCAGCCCAGGUUGGGAGAAACUACCACAGACGGGGCCGGAAGGUGGAGGGAGGCUGGUUGAGCCCUACAUGGCCCUGGCAGGAGUUCUGGGCACCCCCCGUUUUUCCUGUCUGCCAGGGCCCCAACGUUGGUAAAAUGACAAGCAGGUGAAUUCUGCAUGUUUAUCUAUUGGACAAGAAGCUCCACCUGGCAGCAGAGGGGUUAAACCCGUAGCAGCAGAACUGGGUAUCCAGACAAACCUCUAAGGAAGGACCUUCCUUCACCCCACCGAGCCCCUCCUUUUCUAGAAGACCGUGUUCGAAUACCUCCUUAUUUAAAGCUAAAGACCUUCUGUAAGCCAGAGGAACCGGUCUUGUCAAAUUGCAGCCCGUAGACAUAUAAUUUUAAACACAAUGAUGUAGCUACUCCCCACAAUGAAUGUAAUCACUAUGUACUGCAAACAUACUAAUAGACAAAAAUACAGACUAUGUUUUUAAACAUAAAGGAGGAAGAUCUGCAAGGUGCAAAGGGAUCCAGGAAAAGACAUUCUUGAGAUAAUCACCUUUUCUGUCUAACCCUCUUUCCAUACCUCAGACCCUUAUAAAAACCGCAAUCUCUCACCCCGUGGUGUGAUUCCUCUCUGGGAACAUGCCCACCAGGCUCCUGGCAGUGUUCGCUGAUCUGAAUAAAUGUGGGUCUUUUCUGUG